UGGGGAAUUUUGGACAAUGGGCGAAAGCCUGAUCCAGCAAUGCCGCGUGUGUGAAGAAGGCCUUCGGGUUGUAAAGCACUUUUGUCCGGAAAGAAAUCCUUGGCUCUAAUACAGUAGGGGGAUGACGGUACCGGAAGAAUAAGCACCGGCUAACUACGUGCCAGCAGCCGCGGUAAUACGUAGGGUGCAAGCGUUAAUCGGAAUUACUGGGCGUAAAGCGUGCGCAGGCGGUUUGCUAAGACCGAUGUGAAAUCCCCGGGCUCAACCUGGGAACUGCAUUGGUGACUGGCAGGCUAGAGUAUGGCAGAGGGGGGUAGAAUUCCACGUGUAGCAGUGAAAUGCGUAGAGAUGUGGAGGAAUACCGAUGGCGAAGGCAGCCCCCUGGGCCAAUACUGACGCUCAUGCACGAAAGCGUGGGGAGCAAAACAGGAUUAGAUACCCUGGUAGUCCACGCCCUAAACGAUGUCAACUAGUUGUUGGGGAUUCAUUUCCUUAGUAACGUAGCUAACGCGUGAAGUUGACCGCCUGGGGAGUACGGUCGCAAGAUUAAAACUUAAAUGAAUUGNCGGGGUC
rnacentral:rRNA from 1 species